GGAAGUUGAUCAUGGAUUAUAAAAAAGGUUUACAAUUGAUUUUUCCUGAGUCGAUGCCCGAGCGGUUAAUGUGGAUGGACUGUAAAUUCGUUGGUAAUAUGUCUACGCUGGUUCAAAUCCAGCUCAGCCCAAUAGUUUGCCG